rnacentral:lncRNA from 1 species
CCUUUUAAAGAUAAUGCCUGCAUAGCUUGCACAAAGCUUGACUUGUGAGGGUCAAAUCCCAAUUGUUGGACUUCACCCACAAGUUGACUGUACAAAUCAGGCUUCCUCAUCACACUAUGAGCAUAAUAUGUUAGCAACAAAGCAAUACAUGAUUCCGACAUGCCCAAUUCUCUCAGAAUCUGAGUAUUGGGUAUCACAUUCUUGGAGAGAUUUGCUCUGAAAAUCCAUGAGCUCUGCUUCCAAAUAUUGACGACCUUGACAUCAGAGACCACCACGCUUUUGAGGAAGUUAUAACAGGGUACAAUAAAGUUUUCCAAGCUUCGGUCAAAGAGCAUCGAGUUGUAGGUCGGUGUUUUUGCGAGGUCGAGCCUUGAGAUUCCUAUGGAGCAGAAAAACUCAAAGCUUUGGCAAAAGGGUUUUCUGGGUAUCGGUCAUCAGAAUACGUGGGUGUUUCCGCACCAGAGUUGAGAUUUGGGUAUCUGAGAAUUCAUACUGUCUCAAAAGGGCUAAAACAGAGUCUGGUUUCUCUAAAGAUUGAAGCUUUACCUUGUGAGAUGCUUUAAUGGCGGCUUCUGGGGAGAGAGACCACAAGAGUUGACCAGGUAAGAGACCGUGAAAUCGUCGGUCAGUGUUGUUGUACAAAACCACUGACUUUGAAGUCCUUCGAACGGGAUGCGAUAUCUGCAAAACAGACGUGAAAAUGGGUAUGACAGGGUCUUGCUGCAAAUGUAGUCGUGUGCCAUUGGAAUUUGCAACACCGAUUAGAGGGAUGGGAGGAGUCCCAAUUUCACUGCACUCUAGGCAUUUUAUUUUUUAUUUUUAAACAGAGAUGGAAAGGUUUUAAUUUUUUUUUUCACUGUUGAGAAAACAUUGAGCUUUUUAAUUUGUAUGAUACCUGAACUAUGGAACUAAUGUCUAUUGCAUUAUGGUUAUAGUUCAGGUACCAUAUAUGAGGAUUUUUCCUACAAACAUUGAGCUUUUCACAUAAUUGACCACAAAACCAAUGAGCUUUUCACAGUUUUGGUAUAGAAUGAGAGAAAUUCAUACAUCAGCUAUAUCACAUCCAACAAUUGAGGUACUUGGCCUGAGAUAUCUGUUCACAAAACCUAUCCGAAAAGUACUUCUCCUAGACAAUAUGGGAGAAUUGCACAGAACUGGCUUUCAAAAUCCUAGAGUUUAGCAUAUUAUAAACAGCAGAACCCCAAAUUUCUAAUCCGUUCUCCUGUACUUCUAGCUCCAGCACUCGGAUCAUGAACAUGUUCCAGUUUUCCUUGUCCAGGUCAAGGUCGUCACCAGCAUAUCCUUGUAUGAUUCAACUUCACCAAUAACUAUGUCAGUAGACAAUUUUCAUGAGCAAGUUACACAUAAGUAUUACAUGCCUUUGAAGUAGACGAAUGCCCAAAUGCUCAACACACUCUAUGACCAAACAAGGGUCAUUCCUUUGGGGUGCGUUUUGUAGCUCAUGCAUCUUAUGUACAAUGAAAGCAAGAUGUUGGUGCUAACUGUUUACGUAGUACACUCCUGAAUCGCAUGAUCAACCUAUGUCUUCCAGUUCUGGUCAGCCUUGCCUUCGACGUGGAAGCUUUCCUUCUCAACUGAACUGAACUACUCAACUCAUGUAAAUCUGAUCCUGAUGGGUGCUGUGUUGAAUUGAAUGUAAACCCUAAACCAAAUUCAAUAAUUCAAUAUUCACUUCAUGUGUGUAUAUAUGUUGCACUGUAAUCAUUAUUUUCAAUGAUUAUGAUAAAAAUGGGUUGGAAAUUGAUGCUUUAGUUUCUUCUUCCCUGUCUUCUAUAGACCAUUUGCAUGCCUUAUUCUUUUAUAUUUGAUAUUGGUAAAUAAAACAUGUCUUGUCUAACAGUGUUUUAGAUACCACUCGCGUGUUGCUGCGGGGUAGGAUUUCUUGAUGAUGACCAAUAUUCAAUCCUCAUUUCACGCCUCCUAUGCCAUCACCUUUUCUAAAUCUACCGCUGAUUCUCCCGUCUUUCCCUAAUUUUUCACAAACACAUCCAUCUUUCCCAAAUCCACCACCAACAUCAUGGCCUCAUGCCUGCAAAAUCCACCGCUCAUCUCCAAUUCUACCACCUCCUAUUCCGCCACCUGCACAAAAUUCACCAUCAACCCCAUAGCCUCUACCAUCAUUUUUUAAUUCCACCACCAUACCAUAGCUUUUCCCUUGCCAAAACCCACCAUGGACAGCUCUGAUCCUAUGCCCACAACCAAGUAAAAAAUAGAAAAUAAAGAAGUAACAAAUUUUCAAGGACACAAACGUCUUUUUGAUCAGAAAAAUUGAACAUUUGCAAAUAAAUUUGUAUUAAGAGGUAACACAGUCUUUUUAGUCAGUAUAAUGGUAGAUUUGUAAAUAAAUUACAUUAAAGGGUAAAAAAGAUAAGGGGCAAAAACACAAUUCACCAGAACUUGAGGGCAAAAACACAAUUCAUCAAAGAUAUAAACAGUGUUUUUCCCCUUGUUGUUUUAUUUUAUAGAAUGUUGAUGAGUGAUGACCCAAAACUCUCAAGUCAUCUACGGCCAACACAAAAGUGAAAUGAAAACAGUAGAGCCAUCUCAGACCUUAAGUCUUCUCUAUGAACUUAGACUUGAACUUUAAAAGAGCACAUAACAGCAGAUGAAGCAAUCUAACUAAAUGAUCAUGGGUAAGGUGGUGCUGGGUCAAUAUUUUUGAAUAGCUCAACCUUUAUAUGGUUUGAAGAGCAGCCUGUACCUGAUGAACACCAACAGAACUCAGAGACCCCUCACGUUUUACAUAUUAGAAAAACCAAAUUCCUUCAUGUGGCAAUGUGACAUGAAGCAAUAGACAAUGUGACAUUGCCUGAUAGGUUCAUACAACCAGUUCAAUAAGCACUCGAGAUGAUGCAAGUAUAAAGUAAUGAUUCUUGAUCAAGAUAUUUUAAGGAACAGAAAAUCAAUGCGAGAUAAAACAGGACACUUACCAUUAACUGAGAACCUCUUCAAAAAUUCCACUCCUUCCAUUUCUUCUAGAAGAGCCUCAGAGUUCAAGACUAUAAAUCCAAUUUACAGUGUCAUCAAGAACAUACAUUCUGCACAUACGCUUUGCCUUGGUACACAUCCAACAGUUGAGGUACUCGGCUGAGAUAUCUGUUCACAAACCUAUCCAAGAAGUACUCCUCCAACCUCGAAAGAACAUUAGCCAAAUUCAACUUCUCCUCCCCUAUCAAUCCUUUCAAAACCAAAACUCUAACUGAAAACCUCGGGAUGAUUCUCUUCUCCAAGCUGUAAAAAAAUCUCCAAGCUGUAAGAAAAAACAUGGGGAUAUUUUGCAAUCGUGUGGGAAUCCCACCCCAUCUUUUUCACUAGGAAAUCCAUUGUGUCCAUUGGUUUCUUCUCUGACAACAUCAUACACAGCGGAUACGCCCUGAAGGCAGAAACACAAUGAUCCUCAGACCAACCCCACCUCCUAUAAGCCUCUCGACAUCGUUUCCAUGUCUCUUUUGCAGCCAAUACAUUCAUGGCUUGCACAAAACUUGUCUUCUGAGGGUCAAAUCCCAUUUCCUUGACCUCACCCACAAGUUGGCUGAACAAUUCAGGCUUUCUCGUCACGAUACCAGCAUAAUCUGUCAGCGACAAAGCAAUACACGACCCGGGCAUGCCCAAUUCUCUCACAAACUCACUAUUCGGCACUACUUUCUUGGAUAAGUUACUUGCGAAAAUAUAUGAGCUGCGCUUCCAAGCACUGACGACCUUGACAUCAGAGACCACAACGCUUUUAAGCAUGUUAUAACAGGGUACAAUAAAGUUUUCCAAGCUUCGCAUCAAAAUAACUGGGUUGGAGGUCAGUACUCCUGCAAGGUCGAGCCUUGAGAUUCCUAUGGAGC